GAUCAUGGCUCAGGAUGAACGCUAGCGACAGGCUUAACACAUGCAAGUCGAGGGGCAGCACAGGUAGCAAUACCGGAUGGCGACAGGCGCACGGGUGAGUAACGCGUAUGCAACUUGCCUAUCAGAGGGGGAUAACCCGGCGAAAGUCGGACUAAUACCGCAUGAAGCAGGGGCCCCGCAUGGGGAUAUUUGCUAAAGAUUCAUCGCUGAUAGAUAGGC
rnacentral:rRNA from 1 species